UACGAAGGUCCCAAGCGUUAUCCGGAUUUAUUGGGUUUAAAGGGUGCGUAGGCGGUCUAUUAAGUCAGUGGUGAAAGCCCCAAGCUCAACUUGGGAACUGCCAUUGAUACUGAUGGACUUGAGUACAUUUGAGGUGGGCGGAAUGUGUCAUGUAGCGGUGAAAUGCUUAGAUAUGACACAGAACACCGAUUGCGAAGGCAGCUCACUAAACUGUAACUGACGCUGAGGCACGAAAGCGUGGGGAGAAAACAGG
rnacentral:rRNA from 1 species